AUUGAACGCUGGCGGCAGGCCUAACACAUGCAAGUCGAGCGGAUGAAGGGAGCUUGCUCCUGGAUUCAGCGGCGGACGGGUGAGUAAUGCCUAGGAAUCUGCCUGGUAGUGGGGGAUAACGUCCGGAAACGGGCGCUAAUACCGCAUACGUCCUGAGGGAGAAAGUGGGGGAUCUUCGGACCUCACGCUAUCAGAUGAGCCUAGGUCGGAUUAGAUAGUUGGUGGGGUAAAGGCCUACCAAGGCGACGAUCCGUAACUGGUCUGAGAGGAUGAUCAGUCACACUGGAAAUGAGAAACGGCCCAGACUGCUACGGGAGUCAGCAGUGGGGAAUAUUGGACAAUGGGCGAAAGACUGAUCCAGCCAUGCGGCGUGUGUGAAGAAGGUCUUCGGAUUGUAAAGCACUUUAAGUUGGGAGGAAGGGCAGUAAGUUAAUACCUUGCUGUUUUGACGUGACCAACAGAAUAAGCACCGGCUAACUUCGUG
rnacentral:rRNA from 1 species